UCAGUUUCAAAACUGUAAACAGACGCUUCCCCUUUCACCUUACCUUCUUCCUUUUCUCCUUCUCUCAGCCGUUUCUAGGUUUCAAGUCGUUUAAAACCUUCUCUCAGACACACUGCUUUUCCGUGUCUGCCUCUGAUUUCAGCACCUCCUCGACACCCUCCCUCGCCCUUCCACCGCCGUCUGGCAAACCUUCAUCAUGGGCUUCAUCUGCGACCAGGAUUCAGAACUGAUAUCGUUUCCCUUUUUUCCCUAAUCCUGAUGGAGAAGAUUGCUGAGGUUUGGCACCGGAAAUAGUUCCUUGAAUGGUGGCUGCUGGCUGGGUGCCAGGGUUUUCAUACUCGAUUUGGGUUUUCCUGCAAUUUUUCAGGUUGGUUUCUCUUUCUCACAUCUGUGAUUCGUUCAUCCUCCGAGCAUCCAUUUGUUCCCUUUGUUUUUUUUCCCAGUUCGUGAUGGAGAUGAUUUUUGGCUAAUUUUCAGACACAACAGCUUUCUGGGACAAAAUAUUCUGACAUUUUUUUAAGAUAUCUUCUAUUCCAUUCCAGAAACAAUAAUGACCAAAAGUUCAAAUCAAAACAGCUUAUUAGUUUAUGCAAUUUGGUUCUGCUUCAGCAUGUUUGACUGAGAGAUCUCAUGCUUAAGGAAAUUGCUUCAUCUGCUUAUCACAAAGAAAUUCCAGAGUUUGCUCAUCACAUGUAUCUCUAUUUGGGAUGUUCACACCAUGGGUAUGAGAAUUUUCUUGCAAUGAGUUAUAUGAUUGAUUUAGUGCCCCAUGAACUGUUAGUUGGGCAUCGUUGCUUUUAACUUGAGAGAUUGUGCUGAGAAACAUAGCAGAAUGCAUCAUGCAGCUCCUGAAUGCAUUGCCUUUGAUCUUUUAUGAUAUAUCCUAAUUUAAGAGAUCUAAUUAAUGUAGCCUUUAGAUUUCAGAUAUUUGAUUUAUGGGUUUUUCUGUAGUGGGAGACUAUCUGCCAUAGGGUUUUCUUUAUGGUGGGCAGGAGUACACUUCUUUUUGUAUAGAUGCCUAGCCUUAGUGAGUUUGGGAAUACAAUUAAUAGCAGAUCAUCCAAAAACUUACAAUUAAUGGCAGCUUGGAAGGAAAAAUUGCAGAAGCAAUUUCUGAAAAUUGGGCUAAUCUUGAGCCAAAAACAUAAUUUUCUUUCAUGAACCAAAAACAUAAUUUUCCUUAAAUUUUUUCAUGGUUUUCUAGACUUUUUAGACAGUGAUUGGGUUUGGAUCUCUUGAUGACAUGAAAAUGCCUCAACUACUGUUUUACCUUGGUAUUAUAUAUGUUCUCUUGGAGUAAAAAAUGCAGGAUGUUAUGGCUCAUUAUACAGAAGUAGAAUUUAUUGCAGCAACAGUUGUAAAUCAAUCCUUAUGGAUCAAGAAAUUGUUGCUUGAUUUGCAAAUGGAGCAGAUGGAGCACACGAAGUUCUUUGUUGAUAAUUAAGCUAUUAUAUCAAUAUCCGACAAUCCAUUGUUUCAGAGAAAGACCAAACAUUCAAAGAUCAAGUUUUAUUUUCUUAGAGAAGCUGAAUGGUAGGAGUCUAGGAGAAGUAACUUAAGAAUAUUGCAUAGCUGAAGAGCAAGUGGCAGAAGUUUUCAUCAAAGCAUUCCCCAAAGUGAAUUUUGAGUUUUCAGCUAAUCAUUCAAGGAGGAAUGUUGAUACUUUGACUUGGUAGCCGUUUGCAGAAGUUCAAAUUUAGAUUUACUGAUUUUCAGUUGUUAUUUAAGUUUGAAUAACUCUUAUGACGGCUGGAUAUUUGAAGUUUGGUAGAUUGUUAGUCAGUUGUCAUAUUAUAUUUUGUUUGGUUCUAUAUUGCAGUUUGUAAUUAUAUUUAAAAGGCAAGUUAUGAUUAAUGAAAAUUCACAAUUCUUCAUCAUAUACGUUUUUCUCUUUGAUAUUGUUCAUUUUCUUAUGAGAUACCAUAAAUUGGAAGAGGUUUUCAUUCAAAUUUAAAAUAGGUUUAUGUUCAAAAUUGCAAUGUUGAAUUAGUUCUGGAUUGUAAGAAGUUUCUUUGUCUUAUGACAUGUUCUGUGCCUUAACAAUAUGCUCCAAAUAUCUGUAUCUUGGCAUCUUUUUUCCCGUUAUAUUGAUCUAAUAAAGAAACCUGGAGUCCAUAGGUGAUCUGAGUAUGUUGUUAUGUAAGAACGAAUUCAAAGUUGUGCAAUUUUUACAUGUGUGGUAUCAAUAGCUGAUCUAAAUAUGUUGUUCUUUUUAUAUGUCCAACAUCCAAUGCCAACAUUGGUACUUGAUUAAUCAUCCACAGCCAAAUUUUUCCAUGGCAUUUACUUCAAAAUAGUCCUGAAAGCCUGCAAUAUUUUUUUGUGCACAUUAUUUGACAGUUGAAUCAUCCACAGCCAUAGGGUGACAAUUUGAGUUGUUGUUACAAAAACAUGCACAACACAUUGAAAGAAAGAAAGAAAAAUGGUUUCCGAGAUCUCUGUUUCUUCUUCUAAGCGCUCUUCAGCUACUCCUAACUUCUCUAACUCAUUCACUGCAAGAACUAUGGUAAGAUUGGUGCAGAUGUGGUGGAAUACCUACAGCUCCCAGAUGAUGGAGAAUUUCUCCUUACUGACCCAUUGGGUGUGACCAAGGAAGUAUCCUUUAAUUGUGUGUAUAACUUUUUCUAGAUAAUCAUGUGUAUUCAAACUCUACUA